rnacentral:rRNA from 1 species
GACGAACGCUGGCGGCGUGCUUAACACAUGCAAGUCGAGCGGUAAGGCCCUUUCGGGGGUACACGAGCGGCGAACGGGUGAGUAACACGUGGGUGACCUGCCCUCAGCUCUGGGAUAAGCCUGGGAAACCGGGUCUAAUACUGGAUAUGACUCCAUGACGCAUGUUGGUGGGGUGGAAAGCCUUGUGCGGCUGAGGAUGGGCCCGCGGCCUAUCAGCUUGUUGGUGGGGUGANGGCCUACCAAGGCGACGACGGGUAGCCGGCCUGAGAGGGCGACCGGCCACACUGGGACUGAGACACGGCCCAGACUCCUACGGGAGGCAGCAGUGGGGAAUCUUGCGCAAUGGGCGAAAGCCUGACGCAGCGACGCCG